AGUGAACGCUGGCGGUAGGCCUAACACAUGCAAGUCGAACGGCAGCACAGUAAGAGCUUGCUCUUACGGGUGGCGAGUGGCGGACGGGUGAGGAAUACAUCGGAAUCUACUUUUUCGUGGGGGAUAACGUAGGGAAACUUACGCUAAUACCGCAUACGACCUACGGGUGAAAGCAGGGGAUCUUCGGACCUUGCGCGAUUGAAUGAGCCGAUGUCGGAUUAGCUAGUUGGCGGGGUAAAGGCCCACCAAGGCGACGAUCCGUAGCUGGUCUGAGAGGAUGAUCGGCCACACUGAAACUGAGAAACGGUCAAGACUCCUACGGGAGGCAGCAGUGGGAAAUAUUGGACAAUGGGCGCAAGCCUGAGCCAGCCAUACCGCGUGGGUGAAGAAGGCCUUCGGGUUGUAAAGCCCUUUUGUUGGGAAAGAAAAGCAGCAGGUUAAUACCCCGCUGUUCUGACGGUACCCAAAGAAUAAGCACCGGCUAACUUCGU
rnacentral:rRNA from 1 species